CGGCAACAGCUCAAAUUUGAAAUCUGGCCCGUUAGGGUCCGAGUUGUAAUUUGUAGAGGAUGCUUUUGGUGCAGCGCCUUCCGAGUUCCCUGGAACGGGACGCCAUAGAGGGUGAGAGCCCCGUACGGCUGGAUGCUAAACCUCUGUAAAGCUCCUUCGAC
rnacentral:rRNA from 1 species